CGCGUAGGCGGUGAGAUGUGUGUGAUGUGAAAGCCCCGGGCUUAACCUGGGAAGUGCAUCGCAAACUAUCUGACUGGAGUAUAUGAGAGGGUGGCGGAAUUUCCGGUGUAGCGGUGAAAUGCGUAGAGAUCGGAAGGAACGUCAAUGGCGAAGGCAGCCACCUGGCAUAAUACUGACGCUGAGGCGCGAAGGCGUGGGAACGAACA
rnacentral:rRNA from 1 species